AUAAGCAUUAUACGGCGAAACUGCGAAUGGCUCAUUAUAUAAGUUAUCGUUUAUUUGAUAGCACUUUACUACUUGGAUAACCGUGGUAAUUCUAGAGCUAAUACAUGCUAAAAAUCCCGACUUCGGAAGGGAUGUGUUUAUUAGAUUAAAAGCCAAUGCCCUCUGGGCUCUCUGGUGAAUCAUGAUAACCGCUCGAAUCGCAGGGCCUCGUGCCGGCGAUGGUUCAUUCAAAUUUCUUCCCUAUCAACUUUCGAUGUUUGGGUAUUGGCCAAACAUGGUUACAACGGGUAACGGAGGGUUAGGGCUCGACCCCGGAGAAGGAGCCUGAGAAACGGCUACUACAUCCAAGGAAGGCAGCAGGCGCGCAAAUUACCCAAUCCCGACACGGGGAGGUAGUGACAAUAAAUACUGAUACAGGGCUCUUUCGGGUCUUGUAAUUGGAAUGAGUACAAUUUAAAUCCCUUAACGAGGAACAAUUGGAGGGCAAGUCUGGUGCCAGCAGCCGCGGUAAUUCCAGCUCCAAUAGCGUAUAUUAAAGUUGUUGUGGUUAAAAAGCUCGUAGUUGACCUUUGGGCCUGGCUGGCCGGUCCGCCUCACCGCGUGUACUGGUCCGGCCGGGCCUUUCCCUCUGUGGAACCCCAUGCCCUUCACUGGGCGUGGCGGGGAAACAGGACUUUUACUUUGAAAAAAUUAGAGUGCUCCAGGCAGGCCUAUGCUCGAAUACAUUAGCAUGGAAUAAUAGAAUAGGACGUGCGGUUCUAUUUUGUUGGUUUCUAGGACCGCCGUAAUGAUUAAUAGGGACAGUCGGGGGCAUCAGUAUUCAAUUGUCAGAGGUGAAAUUCUUGGAUCUAUUGAAGACUAACUACUGCGAAAGCAUUUGCCAAGGAUGUUUUCAUUAAUCAAGAACGAAAGUUAGGGGAUCGAAGACGAUCAGAUACCGUCGUAGUCCUGACCGUAAACUAUGCCGACUAGGGAUCGGACGAUGUUAUUUUUUGACUCGUUCGGCACCUUACGAGAAAUCAAAGUGCUGGCUCCA
rnacentral:rRNA from 1 species